rnacentral:rRNA from 1 species
GUACACUCCUGCGGGAGGCAGCAGUGGGGAAUAUUGUACAAUGGGCGCAAGCCUGAUGCAGCCAUGCCGCGUGUAUGAAGAAGGCCUUCGGGUUGUAAAGUACUUUCAGCGGGGAGGAAGGCGAUAAGGUUAAUAACCUUGUCGAUUGACGUUACCCGCAGAAGAAGCACCGGCUAACUCCGUGCCAGCAGCCGCGGUAAUACGGAGGGUGCAAGCGUUAAUCGGAAUUACUGGGCGUAAAGCGCACGCAGGCGGUCUGUCAAGUCGGAUGUGAAAUCCCCGGGCUCAACCUGGGAACUGCAUUCGAAACUGGCAGGCUAGAGUCUUGUAGAGGGGGGUAGAAUUCCAGGUGUAGCGGUGAAAUGCGUAGAGAUCUGGAGGAAUACCGGUGGCGAAGGCGGCCCCCUGGACAAAGACUGACGCUCAGGUGCGAAAGCGUGGGGAGCAAACAGGAUUAGAAACCCUAGUAGUCCCAUGA